CAUCAAUUGACGUUAAUUACAGAAGAAGCACCGGCUAACUCCGUGCCAGCAGCCGCGGUAAUACGGAGGGUGCGAGCGUUAAUCGGAAUGACUGGGCGUAAAGGGCAUGUAGGCGGAUAAUUAAGUUAGGUGUGAAAGCCCUGGGCUCAACCUAGGAAUUGCACUUAAAACUGGUUAACUAGAGUAUUGUAGAGGAAGGUAGAAUUCCACGUGUAGCGGUGAAAUGCGUAGAGAUGUGGAGGAAUACCGGUGGCGAAGGCGGCCUUCUGGACAGAUACUGACGCUGAGAUGCGAAAGCGUGGGGAGCAAACAGGAUUAGAUACCCUGGUAGUCCACGCUGUAAACGAUGUCGAUUUGGAGUUUGUUGCCUUGAGUGAUGGGCUCCGAAGCUAACGCGAUAAAUCGACCGCCUGGGGAGUACGGCCGCAAGGUUAAAACUCAAAUGAAUUGACGGGGGCCCGCACAAGCGGUGGAGCAUGUGGUUUAAUUCGAUGCAACGCGAAGAACCUUACCUGGUCUUGACAUCCACAGAAUCUUGCAGAGAUGCGAGAGUGCCUUCGGGAACUGUGAGACAGGUGCUGCAUGGCUGUCGUCAGCUCGUGUUGUGAAAUGUUGGGUUAAGUCCCGCAACGAGCGCAACCCUUAUCCUUUGUUGCCAGCGGUUUGGCCGGGAACUCAAAGGAGACUGCCGUUGAUAAAGCGGAGGAAGGUGGGGACGACGUCAAGUCAUCAUGGCCCUUACGACCAGGGCUACACACGUGCUACAAUGGCGUAUACAAAGGGAGGCGACCUCGCGAGAGCAAGCGGACCUCACAAAGUACGUCUAAGUCCGGAUUGGAGUCUGCAACUCGACUCCAUGAAGUCGGAAUCGCUAGUAAUCGUGAAUCAGAAUGUCACGGUGAAUACGUUCCCGGGCCUUGUACACACCGCCCGUCACACCAUGGGAGUGGGUUGCACCAGAAGUAGAUAGCUUAACCUUCGGGAGGGCGUUUACCACGGUGUGAUUCAUGACUGGGGUGAAGUCGUAACAAGGUAACCGUAGGGGAACCUGCGGUUGGAUCACCUCCUUAC
rnacentral:rRNA from 1 species